rnacentral:rRNA from 1 species
AUUGAACGCUGGCGGCAGGCCUAACACAUGCAAGUCGAGCGAGCGGCGGACGGGUGAGUAAUGUCUGGGAAACUGCCUGAUGGAGGGGGAUAACUACUGGAAACGGUAGCUAAUACCGCAUACCAUCAGAUGUGCCCAUAUGGGAUUAGCUAGUAGGUGGGGUAAUGGCUCACCUAGGCGACGAUCCCUAGCUGGUCUGAGAGGAUGACCAGCCACACUGGAACUGAGACACGGGCCAGACUCCUACGGGAGGCAGCAGUGGGGAAUAUUGCACAAUGGGCGCAAGCCUGAUGCAGCCAUGCCGCGUGUUUGAAGAAGGCCUUCGGGUUGUAAAGCACUUUCAGCGGGGAGGCGUUACCCGCAGAAGAAGCACCGGCUAACGCCGUGCCAGCAGCCGCGGUAAUAC